AGAACGUCGUGAGACAGUUCGGUCCCUAUCUGCCGUGGGCGCUGGAGAACUGAGGGGGGCUGCUCCUAGUACGAGAGGACCGGAGUGGACGCAUCACUGGUGUUCGGGUUGUCAUGCCAAUGGCACUGCCCGGUAGCUAAAUGCGGAAGAGAUAAGUGCUGAAAGCAUCUAAGCACGAAACUUGCCCCGAGAUGAGUUCUCCCUGACUCCUUGAGAGUCCUGAAGGAACGUUGAAGACGACGACGUUGAUAGGCCGGGUGUGUAAGCGCAGCGAUGCGUUGAGCUAACCGGUACUAAUGAACCGUGAGGCUUAACCUUACAACGCCGAAGG
rnacentral:rRNA from 1 species